UGGCUGGUGUUCUAACGUGGGCCCGUGAACCGGGUUGCGGACAGUGUCUGGUGGGUAGUUUGACUGGGGCGGUCUCCUCCUAAAGAGUAACGGAGGAGCACGAAGGUUGGCUAAUCCUGGUCGGACAUCAGGAGGUUAGUGCAAUGGCAUAAGCCAGCUUGACUGCGAGCGUGACGGCGCGAGCAGGUGCGAAAGCAGGUCAUAGUGAUCCGGUGGUUCUGAAUGGAAGGGCCAUCGCUCAACGGAUAAAAGGUACUCCGGGGAUAACAGGCUGAUACCGCCCAAGAGUUCAUAUCGACGGCGGUGUUUGGCACCUCGAUGUCGGCUCAUCACAUCCUGGGGCUGAAGUAGGUCCCAAGGGUAUGGCUGUUCGCCAUUUAAAGUGGUACGCGAGCUGGGUUUAGAACGUCGUGAGACAGUUCGGUCCCUAUCUGCCGUGGGCGCUGGAAGAUUGAGGGGGGCUGCUCCUAGUACGAGAGGACCGGAGUGGACGCAUCACUGGUGUUCGGGUUGUCAUGCCAAUGGCACUGCCCGGUAGCUACAUGCGGAAGAGAUAAGUGCUGAAAGCAUCUAAGCACGAAACUUGCCCCGAGAUGAAUCUUCCCUGAGCCUUUAAGGCUCCUGAAGGAACGUUGAAGACGACGACGUUGAUAGGCCGGGUGUGUAAGCGCAGCGAUGCGUUGAGCU
rnacentral:rRNA from 1 species